rnacentral:rRNA from 1 species
ACGAAAAAUAACGAUACGGGACUCAUCCGAGGCCCCGUAAUCGGAAUGAGUACACUUUAAAUCCUUUAACGAGGAUCAAUUGGAGGGCAAGUCUGGUGCCAGCCGCCGCGGUAAUUCCAGCUCCAAUAGCGUAUAUUAAAGUUGUUGCGGUUAAAAAGCUCGUAGUCGAAUCUGUGUCCCGCGCCGCCGGUUCAUCGCUCGCGGUGUCAACUGGCGUGUCCGCGGGACGUCCUGCCGGUGGGUUUAGCCCUUCGGGGCGGCCCAAUUUAUGUCUCGCCGCGAUGCUCUUUACUGAGUGUCGAGGUGGGCCGGCACUUUUACUUUGAACAAAUUAAAGUGCUUAAAGCAGGCUAAAACCUCGCCUGAAUACACGUGCAUGGAAUAAUGGAAUAGGACCUCGGUUCUAUUUUGUUGGUUUUCGGAACGCCGAGGUAAUGAUUAAUAGGAACGGAUGGGGGCAUUCGUAUUGCGACGUUAGAGGUGAAAUUCUUGGAUCGUCGCAAGACGGACAGAAGCGAAAGCAUUUGCCAAAAACGCUUUCAUUGAUCAAGAACGAAAGUUAGAGGUUCGAAGGCGAUCAGAUACCGCCCUAGUUCUAACCAUAAACUAUGCCAGCUAGCGAUCCGCCGACGUUCCUCCGAUGACUCGGCGGGCAGCUUCCGGGAAACCAAAGCUUUUGGGUUCCGGGGGAAGUAUGGUUGCAAAGCUGAAACUUAAAGGAAUUGACGGAAGGGCACCACCAGGAGUGGAGCCUGCGGCUUAAUUUGACUCAACACGGGAAACCUCACCAGGCCCGGACACCGGAAGGAUUGACAGAUUGAGAGC